UACGAAGGGGGCUAGCGUUGCUCGGAAUUACUGGGCGUAAAGGGCGCGUAGGCGGCACUGUUAGUCAGGCGUGAAAGUCCUGGGCUCAACCUGGGAACUGCGCUUGAUACGGCAGAGCUAGAGGAUGGAAGAGGCUCGCGGAAUUCCCAGUGUAGAGGUGAAAUGCGUAGAGAUCGGGAGGAACAUCAGUGGCGAAGGCGGCCAUCUGGGACAACACUGACGCUGAAGCACGAAAGCGUGGGGAGCAAACAGG
rnacentral:rRNA from 1 species